AGACAGCAACAGAUACAAAGAGCACUAUAACACUAUUUGAUAGAGCAAAUUCUCAGCUACAAAACUCUGUUUUCCAACACGGUCACCACCAUUAGCUGUGCAUUUCUGCUAACAAGAACAAGAGCCUGCGUGCUGCACUCAUCCCCAAUAAUAAAACAGAAGGCAUUACUUUUGGAGCAGCCCUCGGAAAAUAAACAACACCGUUAAUAGCUAAGUAACAAAACAGUUCAAUUUCAAAUAUUUUUUAAAAAACUUAAGAGGAAGAAGAACCUCAGAGCAGUGGGAUACGGGACCUGGGCUCUGUGAAACCAGCACAGCAGUCCGCUUCAACGGCAGCGGCUGCCAUUCUCGGGGAGCUCUCAAGGCUCUCAUCAGAGAGUUGUGAUCAAAUCCUACUCCUCCUGGACAAUAAUUGUUCCAAAUGCGCCAAAAAGCACCGACGUGAAUAACGUGCGACCGUGAAGCGAAGGGCGUUUCUCUCUGCUCAGAGAGGUCUCUCGACAGCCCAGGAAAGGGAUGCGAUCAGGUUGCUGAGUCGCAGAUCUGCCUGCAGCUCCAUACGUUCCACCUGAACAUAUGCAGGUGAAACGCCCUGACAGCCACCCUACUGCUGCUCCUGGAGAAGAACAGAGCAGCCGCUUGCUGCAUGGCCUCAACCCUUCAAGGCUGUGUCGGACGGGAUGACAGUGCCCCAGGAAGUCACGAGAGGCAUUCCCAGCAUUGUUCAGCAGUAAGGCAGGAAGCGGCGUUCUGAACGGCAGGAACUGGGAAAGGUUAUCCUGGAUCACUGCGAGCUGCAGCACCAGCUGUUUGUUCAGCCAGAAUGCGACUCGUGUGGUAUUUUUCACCCUGCUUCAAUAAAUGCAGCAGCUGCCAUGCAGCCCAGGUUUGCAGAAACGCAGUGGGGCUGCAGAUGGGGGCUGGAGGCCGAGCCGUGCCGCCGGCUUCCCACGGGCUGAGCGCUGCACUCAUCCACUGCUGGAUGCUGACGGGAGGGAAAUAACCUGAGUCUCUGCACGCAGUGCCUGAGCUGAGCUGUCCGACUCCGUCCUCGUGACACAGAAGGGAACCCUGGAUUCUUUCUGCCAUGUCCUGUGAGGCAGUGCAUGAAAACAGCAUCCCCGUCUCUAAGACUUUUCAUUGACACGUGAAAUGAGGAAGUAUCUAAGGGCCAUUGCAGUGAAAGUGCAAGCACACCUGGCUCUCCAGAGGCUCACACACGUACUGUGCCAGAGCACACUGUGUGCACCCAAAGCAGAGCGCUGCAGGCAGUGCUGGAGCAGAUGGGCACAGGGCAGCCGUGGCUGCUGCUGCUGGUGGAGCUGUGCAGGGCUCCG
ensembl:lncRNA